rnacentral:lncRNA from 1 species
AAUUCUGAAAUCAGAACGUUGGUCUUGCAGAAUUAGCCGUUUGGCAUUUUUAAAAUUUAGCCAUUUGACCCCUCAAAUUUAAUUUAACACCAAACUUUAUAUAAUUACACAAUUUCCCAUUUCUCAACUAUAAAUACCCGCUCAUUCUUUCAUUUUAAUUCACCAAUUCAUCAAUCUUACUCAAUCUCUCUCAAUCUCUCUCAAGCUCUCUUUCAAUCUUUCUGUGCAAGUGCN